UACUAGACCAUCAAAGAUGCAGAUUUGGAUUUUCUAUUUCAUAGUUAUUGAAAUCAUAAUGGAGCUGUUCUCAAAACAUUGGGUGACAAAGAAUUCACUUUUACAAAAAUCGAGCAGGAUAUUAAAGACAGCGAACUAUAGAACAAAUAUGGCGAAGCUGCAUGAAGUCUAUGUUGAAUUUUAUUAUUGAAAAAAAUAUGCUCUUCAGAUUUAAUGUUAGUUUUUAUUGUUUAACAGUAAUUGCAGUUUUCGAAUACCUGUAAAAUAAACCUAAUUCUUAAAUUAA